UACGAAGGGGGCUAGCGUUGUUCGGAAUUACUGGGCGUAAAGCGCACGUAGGCGGAUCGAUCAGUCAGGGGUGAAAUCCCAGGGCUCAACCCUGGAACUGCCUUUGAUACUGUCGAUCUGGAGUAUGGAAGAGGUGAGUGGAAUUCCGAGUGUAGAGGUGAAAUUCGUAGAUAUUCGCAGGAACACCAGUGGCGAAGGCGGCUUACUGGUCCAUUACUGGACGCUGAGGUGCGAAAGCGUGGGGAGCAAACAGGGAUUAA
rnacentral:rRNA from 1 species